UGGAGCCCUGGCUGGCCUUGCAGGGCCAGAUGGCCCAGUCCCACCUGGGGGAAGGGCCCAGGAAGGCCAAAGGCUAUUUAAACCAAAGCCUGCGGCAAGCACACGUCCUGACCCUACCUCCUCUUGGAGAUUCUGUCUGCUGAACACCACUAGAACCAGGACUGCCUUCAUUAAUUCCAAGUGAUGAGUGAAGUUAAUGGGAAGUUUUCUUUCCACUGAGGUGCAGAUUUAAUGCGUGCUUAAGAAUGCAGUGGAAGCCUGUCUCAAACUGAAAGCAGAGAGAAUGCAUAGGCUCUUUGAAAGUGUGGGAGAGACAGCUGCAUAUGUUGGGAGGAAAGCUUUCUCCAUUGCACUGAAGGGGUUGUGCACCAUUUAUCAAGCUGACUGCUCUGUCAUAUCAGUGGAAGGACCCUGGAGAGCCCUGACCAUGAGAUUGAAGGACCAUUCCCAGGUUGCCUGUUUGUUAUAACCUGCUCCAGAAGGUAUGAAUGGAGGAUGGUGGAACCCACCUGUAAUGUGCCUGUUUUCCUGAUGUAACUACUGUAGUCUGACUCCCCUGAGGAAGCAAUCUGGGCAAUGAUUGUGAGAAAUAUUUGCACUGUGUCCUCAUUAGUUUUUAUGCUUUAAUAUGUUUUUUCUAUUUUUACACGUGGUUUGCCUGGAGCUUCCAGUGACAAUAUAUUCUAAGUAUGUGAACACUCCAGAACACUGACAAAAGUUUGGGGAUUAAACAAUUUGUACCUGGAGAGAAAGGAAACUACUUGAAAGAAUCUAUAACCUUCAACCCUUUAUGAUAGGAAGCAUCUGUUCUUCUUAAUGAGGAAUGCUUUUCACCUCUGAAAGACAGAAAAAACAAAACCCCUCUGUGUGUAAGUCUUGUUGGGGGAAAGAAUAGAACCAUGAUCAAAGGGAACUGGCAGGUUUCUUACUUUUAAUUUACAAUGGGCAACCAAAAUAAUUAAAUAAAAUACGACUAGCAGAAGAACAUUAGAAAAGGGAAAUUGUUCCUGAAUAUUAUCAUGAAACUUCAAAGAAAGGGUGAAGAAAUGUAGAUGAAGCAUUCCAACUUUUCUUUCCUCUGGUUCUAUUUUCCCUACAAAAAACUGUAAAUUACCUGCCUCCAAACCUUAAAAAGUGCUGUUUGCACCUGUUAAUCAAUUGUCCAAAAAAAAGCUGCUAAUUUUAGCAAAGCAACUAAUAUUUCAGAAUACUAAUUACAAGAUAAAAUAAUGAACUAGUCUUUUCAGAAAUAAUCAUGAUUUUCAGAUAUUGCAAGACUUUUUAAGGCACUAGCUUUUCCAAUACUACUAGCACAAUUUUUUCUAUUUCCUCUUGCUCUUGCUUGAUGCUAUUUAAUGUAACAAAGAUAAGUGAUUGAAAUGUCCUGUGCUGUCUAUUUCCUACAGGGAAAAGAGUAAAACUGAAGGAGAUUUCUAAUACUAAUUGCAAUACAAUUACAUUUUGAGGAAGUAUAUGUGAGAUUUGAGAACACUAAAUACAUUCCUGAUUGUUUCUCCAUAGUGUUUUGCAUUUUCCAUCUUAAUUUGUUCUGUUGGCAUGACUGUAAAGAAUUUCUCUUUACCAUGUCAUCUGGUUAACCAGUGCUGAAGAGUGGUAGCAGGUCAUUACCAAAUCACUUACAGGAAUACACUCUAAAAUCAAUGCCCUUGCUACUGAAUACAGCAACAGAACUAACAGAAAUCUCCAAUCCAAGGAAUCCUGUGGGAAAAUCUGGGAGUGAGGGAAUGAAUCUUAGCUAAAGCAGAAUUAGAAAGGGAAAGCAAUAGAAGUUAGGAGAAAGGUAGAUUUCGAAAUGAACACUUCAUCUUCAAAUGCAGACAAAAUGUGUCUUUCUUGUAUUUUCCUCUUUCUUGUCAUUUACUAGUGGGCCAUUCACAUAUUUUCUGAAUUCCUAAAACAGACAACCUAGAAAACAGGAUACCUAUGCCCAGCUACUCAUCACAAUAUAUUGUAGAAAACCAGAAAUGUAGUUUUGUUUCUACACUCUUAACCAUAAGGGAGUAGGAAAACUCUUAACUCUCUCUCCUGUUACUAGACUUCUGUUUGCUGAAAGAUAGUAAGAAGAAAAUAAACUAAUAUUUAUAGUGUUGAGUGUCCAGUUGAACACUGCAGAACAGUGGUGGGGAGUAAUGUCUACAUUCAUGCUUGGAGCCAUGAGACAUAAAUGCAAGUCCCACCAAGGUCAGUAGGGAUUGUCCUUACUCAAAUGACCUUGGAACUCAAUCCUGUUGAUGUAUCUUUGGCCAUCUUAUCAAUUCAAUGAGUGGAUUUCAAGAGAUGUUGGCCUUUUUAAUUUACAGGUGGCAGCCAUUGUGAAUGGGCUUAAGACAAGUCUGUAGGCAUUGCUUAAUAAUUUUCCUCAGCUGCAGAUUAUUCUCUUGUACAUUGCAGCUAGAUGUUUGUCUGUGGAUAUGGAAAUUGCUGUACAUAUUUUUAAGAAUAGUAUUCAUCAGCCAUGCUUGAGGAUGAAUUUCAACUGGCUGAGAGAAAAAGCACAGUUGGAAGACUGCUCUUUGUGUACCAGCAAGACCGUGCUUUACCCAUAUGUAAUAUGUGAGAGAAGGCAAAACAAGGAAAAAGAG